AAAAUAAUUGCGUGUUUUCGAAAUGGCUAUCUAAAGCAAUUUGGAGUUAAAUUCUAGUCAGUUUAACGCAUUUGCAGCAUAAAAUUCGAUUGUUAAUAUUGUGAGAAACGUGGAUGCGGACAGAUUUUGCGUUUCCAUCAAACUAUAGUUGCUUUGAUGGGUUUCUACCAGGGUUUCAAUUUGUGUUGGAAAAAUGGCAGCUUGAGAAGAUUCAUUAGUACUCACAGCUGAGGCCAUCAAACCAGGAAGCUUCUGUUGUUUUAUGUGACAAUAUUUCUGCAACGACAUCACCAGGAACAUGACUUUGUAUAUUAUCACGUCUGCCUGUCAGGAUUAAAUGACUACACCAUCAUUUAUGUGAUAGACUUCAUAAUGAUGACCCGUGCCUGAGUGUUUACACCUGGACCCACACCGACAAAGCGAAAAACCGCCUGCAAGCGUCAAAUAUCCAUCGUCUUGUGAGUUCGUAAUUGAUGAUUUAGCACCAC